rfam:Felis catus isolate Cinnamon breed Abyssinian chromosome B4, whole genome shotgun sequence.
GCCUGGGUGGCUCAGUCUGUUGAGCAUCUGACUUUGGCUCAGGUCAUGAUCUCAUGGUUCGUGAGUUUGAGCCCCGCAUCGGGCU